rnacentral:rRNA from 1 species
AGGAUGAACGCUGGCGGCGUGCUUAACACAUGCAAGUCGAACGUGAAGGUAUAGCAAUAUACCUGAAAGUGGCGGACGGGUGAGUAACACGUGGGUGACCUGCCUCGAAGUGGGGGAUAACCAUGGGAAACCGUGGCUAAUACCGCAUGUGCUAAUUAGACUUGGCGUCUAGUUAGUAAAGCUUUAGUGCUUCGAGAGGGGCCUGCGUCCGAUUAGGUAGUUGGUGAGGUAAUGGCUCACCAAGCCGAUGAUCGGUAGCUGGUCUGAGAGGACGAUCAGCCACACGGGAACUGAGAUACGGUCCCGACUCCUACGGGGGGCAGCAGUGAGGAAUAUUGGGCAAUGGACGCAAGUCUGACCCAGCAACGCCGCGUGGAGGAUGAAGGUUCUUGGAUCGUAAACUCCUUUUGCAGGGGAAAGUAGGAUGGUACCUGAGAAUAAGUCACGGCUAACUACGCGCCAGCAGCCGCGGUAA